UGAAGAAAUGCCUCGGAGGUUAAGAACAUGGCGGUUCUUCCAAAGAUUCUGAGUUCAAUUCCCAGCAAUCACAUGGUGGCUCACAACCAUCUAUAAGAAAUCUGGUGCCCUCUUCUGGCCACAAGGGUUAUAGGCAGGCAGA